rnacentral:tRNA from 1 species
AGAGCCAGUGUGGUUUAGUGGUUAACAGCGGCAGAUUCGUAAUCUGGUGAACCGGGUUCGCUUCCCCGCUCCUCCA